UCACAGGCGAGUAAGAAAAUCAAUUAAGUUAUGAAAAAUACCAUUAAUUGCCUUUCUUUGUCGCCGCAGCUCAUGAAGAAAUGGCGGAUCUCCAGACGUAGUAUAUUUGAGGACAAACACUUCGCAUCUAAUGGCGUGUUUUCGGACCAUAAAGACCAUCCCAAUCGACCUGGAUAUUUACGUUUUUUUGGAAUACUGAAGAAUAUCUUCCAAACUGAUGAGAAUGAGCUGAUGGUUGUGGAAGUCUUCAAAAAGACGUUGCAAAAAAGAGAGAGGCCUUCUGGAAGAUGCCAAGAAAAAAACAACAGAAUCCACAGCCAGUCAAGUUGGAUUCUGAAGAUGGUGUAGCCAUUGAAGCUCCAGGAAACCUCAACUUAGACGCAGACUUCCUUUUGGGACAAGACAUUGAGUUUGGUGAUCCUGAUCAUGACAACAAGAUUCUAGGCCUGGACAAGUUUUCAGGUUUGUAAAGUUUAAUUUU